UUUUUUUAAGAGUGAGAGAAUUAAAAUCAUAAAUGAAGAUAAACCCAAAAAAAAAUGUAUAUCUAUAUUUGUCAUAUAACCCAUAAAAUCAACCUUCCCAUGUGGUGUAUCCCAUUGUGACAAUGAUUUUAAUAGAUAAGCAAGAGUAAUUUUAAUAGAUAGACAAUGAUUUUAAUGUAUAUAAUUAUAACUAAGAGAAAAAAGUAAAUCUAUUGUGUAUAAAUGAUAUUAAUAGAUAGGAGGAAAAAAUAGGAAUG
rnacentral:lncRNA from 1 species